AGUACACAGAUACACUGGAAACAUACGAUAUAUGGAUGGGUAGGGACUUACGGGCCACCCUGUACAAUUAGGAAAAAGAAAAUGCAAAAUAAACAGACCGAUACAAAGGGUAGAGGUCCAUGCCCAUGAGCUAAAAAGGAAAAUCAGUUUUACAGAUGGGAAUUGUCAAGUACAUACCAUAAUAUCCUGGUUAAAAUAUACUGACUGGAAUGGCUAAUAUAGACUGGAUAAUAUAGACUUAG